UACGAAGGGGGCUAGCGUUGCUCGGAAUUACUGGGCGUAAAGCGCACGUAGGCGGCUUUCUAAGUCGGGGGGUGAAAUCCUGGAGCUCAACUCCAGAACUGCCUUCGAUACUGGAAAGCUCGAGUCCGGGAGAGGUGAGUGGAAUUCCGAGUGUAGAGGUGAAAUUCGUAGAUAUUCGGAGGAACACCAGUGGCGAAGGCGGCUCACUGGCUCGGUACUGACGCUGAGGUGCGAAAGCGUGGGGAGCAAACAGG
rnacentral:rRNA from 1 species